rnacentral:rRNA from 1 species
UGCCAGCAGCCGCGGUAAUUCCAGCUCCAAUAGCGAAUAUUAAAUUUGUUGCAGUUAAAAAGCUCGUAGUUGGAUCCAAGGUUAGGCAUGCCUGUCUGUUCUUAGUAGCAUGACUGUGUGUGUCUGCCUUUAUUAGUUGAAUGUUCAUUAUGGUGGUCUUCAUCGACUGCUAUGAUGUGCUCAACACGUUUACCUUGAAAAAAUCAGAGCGAUCAAGGCAGGCCUUCGUGCUUGUAUGUUGUUGCAAGGAAUAAUAGAAUAGGACUUCGGUUCUAUUUUGUUGGUUUUGAGAAUUGAAGUAAUGAACAAUAGAGACAGUCGGGGGCAUUUGUAUGGUGGCGUUAGAGGUGAAAUUCUGAGAUCGUCGCCAGACAAACUACUGCGAAAGCAUUUGCCAAGGAUGUCUUCAUUAAUCAAGAACGAAAGUCAGAGGUUCGAAGACGAUCAGAUACCGUCCUAGUUCUGACCAUAAACGAUGCCGACCUAUAAUCGGGGGUGGUUUAUUAUAUUGACCCUCCCGGCUGUCCUCAGGAAACUUUAAGUUGGUUCUGGGGGGAAUAUGGUCUCAAGACUGAAACUUAAAGGAAUUGACGGAAGGGCACCACCAGGAGUGGAGCCUGCGGCUUAAUUUGACCCAACACGGGGAAUCUCACCCGGUCCGGACACUGGUAGGAUGGACAGAUUGAUAGCUCUUUCUUGAUUCAGUGGGUGGUGGUGCAUGGCCGUUCUUAGUUGGUGGAGUGAUUUGUCUGGUUAAUUCCGAUAACGAACGAGACUCUGUCCUGCUAAAUAGUCCAGUGGCAUCAAUCACUAUGUGAUUACAGCUGCUGUUACUUCUUAGAGGGAUUCGCGGAUUUAAACCGCAAGAAAUAGAGCAAUAACAGGUCUGUGAUGCCCUUAGAUGUCCGGGGCCGCACGCGCGCUACAUUGACAGUAGAAGCGAGUAUUUCUACCUGGUUCGAAAGAAUUGGGAAAUCUUCGAAUUACUGUCUCCACAGGGAUUGAGGUUUGCAAUUUUGCCUCAUGAACGAGGAAUUCCCAGUAGGCGCAAGUCAUCAGCUUGCGUCGAUUACGUCCCUGCCCUUUGUACACACCGCCCGUCGCUACUACCGAUUGAGUGCAUUAGUGAGGACCUCGGAUUGAGAACAUAGUGGCGCAAGUUACUUUGUUUUCGAAAAGUGGUUCAAAUUUGUGCAUUUAGAGAUAGUAAAAGUCGU